rnacentral:rRNA from 1 species
AUUGAACGCUGGCGGCAGGCUUAACACAUGCAAGUCGAGCGGUGUGAUGGUGCUUGCACUAUCACUUAGCGGCGGACGGGUGAGUAAUGCUUAGGAAUCUGCCUAUUAGUGGGGGACAACAUCUCGAAAGGGAUGCUAAUACCGCAUACGUCCUACGGGAGAAAGCAGGGGAUCAUUUGUGACCUUGCGCUAAUAGAUGAGCCUAAGUCGGAUUAGCUAGUUGGGGGGGUAAAGGCCUACCAAGGCGACGAUCUGUAGCGGGUCUGAGAGGAUGAUCCGCCACGCUGGGACUGAGACACGGCCCAGACUCCUACGGGAGGCAGCAGUGGGGAAUAUUGGACAAUGGGGGGAACCCUGAUCCAGCCAUGCCGCGUGUGUGAAGAAGGCCUUAUGGUUGUAAAGCACUUUAAGCGAGGAGGAGGCUCUUUUGGUUAAUACCCAAGAUGAGUGGACGUUACUCGCAGAAUAAGCACCGGCUAACUCUGUGCCAGCAGCCGCAGUAA